AGGAAUAUUGGUCAAUGGGCGGGAGCCUGAACCAGCCAAGUAGCGUGAAGGACGACGGCCCUACGGGUUGUAAACUUCUUUUAUAAGGGAAUAAAGUUCGCCACGUGUGGUGUUUUGUAUGUACCUUAUGAAUAAGCAUCGGCUAAUUCCGUGCCAGCAGCCGCGGUAAUACGGAAGAUGCGAGCGUUAUCCGGAUUUAUUGGGUUUAAAGGGAGCGUAGGCGGGCUUUUAAGUCAGCGGUCAAAUGUCGUGGCUCAACCAUGUCAAGCCGUUGAAACUGUAAGCCUUGAGUCUGCACAGGGCACAUGGAAUUCGUGGUGUAGCGGUGAAAUGCUUAGAUAUCACGAAGAACUCCGAUCGCGAAGGCAUUGUGCCGGGGCAUAACUGACGCUGAGGCUCGAAAGUGCGGGUAUCAAACAGGAUUAGAUACCCUGGUAGUCCGCACGGUAAACGAUGAAUGCUCGCUAUGGGCGAUAUAUUGUCCGUGGCCAAGCGAAAGCGUUAAGCAUUCCACCUGGGGAGUACGCCGGCAACGGUGAAACUCAAAGGAAUUGACGGGGGCCCGCACAAGCGGAGGAACAUGUGGUUUAAUUCGAUGAUACGCGAGGAACCUUACCCGGGCUUGAAUUGCAGGUGCAUGAGUCAGAGAUGAUUCUUUCCUUCGGGACUCCUGUGAAGGUGCUGCAUGGUUGUCGUCAGCUCGUGCCGUGAGGUGUCGGCUUAAGUGCCAUAACGAGCGCAACCCUUCUCCCCAGUUGCCAUCGGGUAAUGCCGGGCCCUCUGGGGACACUGCCAUCGUAAGAUGCGAGGAAGGUGGGGAUGACGUCAAAUCAGCACGGCCCUUACGUCCGGGGCCACACACGUGUUACAAUGGGGGGUACAGAGGGCCGCUGUCCGGUGACGGUCGGCCAAUCCCUAAAACCCCUCUCAGUUCGGACUGGAGUCUGCAACCCGACUCCACGAAGCUGGAUUCGCUAGUAAUCGCGCAUCAGCCAUGGCGCGGUGAAUACGUUCCCG
rnacentral:rRNA from 1 species